AGAGUUGAUCUGGCUCAGAACGAACGCUGGUGGCGUGUCUAUACAUGCAAGUCGAGCGAGACAGCAAUGCCGAGCGGCGAACGGGUGAGUAACGCGUAAGCAAUCUGCCCCAUAUCAGGAAAUACCCGUGCCAAACGCGCGGUUAAUGUCCAGGAGAGUGGCCCUCUGCAUGGAGGGUUGACUAGAGAUUUAUCGGUAUGGGAUGAGCUUGCGUCCGAUUAGCUAGUGGCGGGCAACGGCCACCGAAGCGACGAUCGGUAGCCGGCCUGAGAGGGUGAUCGGCCACAUUGGGACUGAGAUACGGCCCAGACUCCUACGGGAGGCAGCAGUAGGGAAUAUUGCACAAUGGGGGAAACCCUGAUGCAGCAACGCCACGUUGUGGGAAGAAGCAUUUCGGUGUGUAAACCACUGUCAUGAGGGAAUAAGGCCCUUAUUCCGUAAGGACUUGAAUGUACCUUGAGAGGAAGCACCGGCAAACUUCGUGCCAGCCGCGGC
rnacentral:rRNA from 1 species